rnacentral:tmRNA from 1 species
GGGCCCGAAUUGGCUUCGACGGAAGGCCUAAGUAGGAUUAGCUGCGAGCCGAGCAGGUUACGUAUAUCUCGUUAAACUAACGUAACAAACACUAAGAGCAAAUAACUUAGUUAGCAAAGUAAAGACCGCUUUCGCGGGACUUUCAUUUGCGCCAGCUCUUGCCUAAGGGCUAAGAGCCGCCUGCCUGUUUUUAGCCCAAGAGAGCAGAACGGGCGUCAUAAAUUGGGCUCGGCUACGUAAGAUAGCUUUGGUAGCGUAGACUAGUACAAACAAAAGCAAAUUUACGCUCGUCGAUGGCUUUUCUUGCUUCCUUUCGGACAGGGGUUCAACUCCCCUCGGGUCCACCA